CCUACGGGAGGCAGCAGUGGGGAAUAUUGGACAAUGGGCGAAAGCCUGAUCCAGCCAUGCCGCGUGUGUGAAGAAGGCCUUCGGGUUGUAAAGCACUUUCAGUGGGGAAGAAAGCCUUGGGGCUAAUACCCUCGAGGAAGGACAUCACCCACAGAAGAAGCACCGGCUAACUCCGUGCCAGCAGCCGCGGUAAUACGGAGGGUGCGAGCGUUAAUCGGAAUUACUGGGCGUAAAGCGCGCGUAGGCGGUCUGAUAAGCCGGUUGUGAAAGCCCCGGGCUCAACCUGGGAACGGCAUCCGGAACUGUCAGGCUAGAGUGCAGGAGAGGAAGGUAGAAUUCCCGGUGUAGCGGUGAAAUGCGUAGAGAUCGGGAGGAAUACCAGUGGCGAAGGCGGCCUUCUGGACUGACACUGACGCUGAGGUGCGAAAGCGUGGGUAGCAAACAGGAUUAGAUACACGAGUAGUC
rnacentral:rRNA from 1 species